GAAUGUCCAGACCUAACUAAAAUC
rnacentral:siRNA from 1 species